UAAAAAUUAAAAAUUGAACCAUUUUGUAGGCUGUGUUGUUCAAAGGCUAAUUUUUCCCUUGGUAAAACUUGCACUUCAUUCCCAGCUUGACUUUGUCCGACUUGAGCUUUCAGUCAUUCACUGGAUAAGAGAUCCUACUGUAAUCAGAAAUCUUUCAUGUGGUCUAAUCACGCUGAAACCCAUAUUACAUUAUGCAUCAAAUUGAAGCAUCUUCCUGAAGCGCACUGUCAAGACCUCAAGACCUUCCCUGAUAAUCCCUUUUGAUCUCUCAACAUAAAUUCUGGUGUUGAUGCUAUGAAAACAGACACAGUAUUCCACGAAUGACACAGACAUGGUUCCAGCUAGUGAUGCAUCACAUGGGCUCCUUCUGCUAGUCACGCAUCUCCUCUCUCCCAAAUAUACAUUCAGCGCCAUCAUGUAGUCAAGUGAUGGAACUCCAUCUGUACAAAGGAAUUCACCUCAUUUUUAUGUAUACUUCAGUAACUUGUGUCCUCUGCAAAUUUUAACCUUAAUUCUAUUUUCUUUUAGAAAAUUAUAAAGAAAUAACUGAAUGCAGUGAUCUACACGGUGUCUACAUGGUGCUCCACUAGAAAGUCUCCUUGAAGAUGGUGUCUUCCUGUUCACAGUUAAUCAUUAACAUAAUUCAACUACUUUUAGAUGGGAAUUUGCUGCUGAUACAUACACUGCAUGUAUUCCUUCCUGAUAUCAUACAACUACAGCUUUUUUUUUAACUUCAUUCAGCAUCUCUCUUUGUCUCAUAGAGCUGGAAAGUUACUUUGUGCAGUGGAGGAAGAGAAUUACUGUUUUUUCUUAAAAUGCAAAACCAGCAUUAUGGGUGGUUUAUUCAAGCCUUUGCUUCCACCAUCUUUGCAGUCUACAGUUAAAGUUCUCCUUUAGAUGCUCACAGCAGGACACUAAUAGAGAAAGUGUCUCAGCAAAACUGAUUGUGCCAUCAACAGUGUCAAUUGCACAAUGCAGUUUCUGUGCUAUGGCCACAGCUGAGAGUGUUUGCAUAAAAAGCAAAAGCUACUCAGACAAGAUCAAGGAUAAAAUACAGCUUAUUUUUCAGUUGCUGCUGUGUGCAUUCUGUGUGGUUUUAGUGGCACAAGAACCAUUGGCAGGACACAGAAUUGAUGUCACAAGAGGCACUUCAUGUAGAAAACUGAGGAGCAUUAGACAAAAGGAACAGACCAAAGCCUAAAGUCUUUGUGACUGAAAAAUGGGUGCACUGGAGAUUAUUUCUCCUAUGGGACAUUUAUAUUAACUAUAACUGUAACAACAAUCAGCAUUACUUUCUUUUGUGCGAUCGAAUUAUGUGCUGGUCACAGCACAAGCGCUGCUGCAAGACUGCUCUUUAGCUAUUGUCUUCAACAGAUGUGCCAAAGGAAGGGGGCUGGUUUGAUCAAAGGCAAGGAGGGCUAUGCACAAAGAAGACUGGAACUCUCUUCAUGACAUUGUCAUUCAGAGGGUUGAAUUACGUGUGACAAAUCAGCAUCUCAUCUUCCUAAGCUUUGUACCUCCAAAAUGAAACAGAUGGGCUGUAUCAGCUUCCUCCCACUGUUAAACGAGGAUGAAGCAUGCUGGCAACUCCCAUUGGCAUACUGCUUUGAGGUCUACAGGCUCCAAGAAACACAAAGGGUUAACUUCAUUGAAGGCUGACUUUUUUCCAUGUUCUGGUUUUAGAGAGAAGGGACAUUUAUUUUUAAUAUUUUUCCAUUUGGAUUUUGUCUUAGUUUAGCUUUUGAAGGUGGACCUAUAUUAACACACUAUUUCAUAUUUAACUUUUACAAUUCUCAUUAUGCUCAGUACAUAGAUAGGCACACAGACAAUUUUGCCUCAAGGAGAGGACAACACAUAAAUGAUAGCACACACUGGGCAUUUCUGCUGUUGUAUCUGUGUUAUAAAAAAAAAAACAACACAAAAAAGCCACGUCUCUGUUGACUGUGUAUGUGAUUUAGGGGAACUAAGUCUGCAUUAAUUUAAAC
ensembl:lncRNA